CCGACAGGCGUCCAAUCAAAACUUUGAUGGCCAGCAGAAAUGGACGAUCGUUAAGGUCCACAGUGCGAUAGGCUUUACCUUCAUCAUAGAAGUCCGAAAAAUGGAGGACAGACAUAAAAGGAGCCGAUAUGGGAUUUAAAUUUAUUUUCAUGCACCAACUAUGCCAUCUGCUCCAAGCAGAUUUAUAAGCCUGUCUCGUGUUGGGUGCACCCUUGAU